UUUUUAAUCUUUUCACACCAACCUGCCUCAAGUUGCCCCUGCUUCUAUGAUACAAACUUCCUGUUUUAAAUUCAUCAAAAUUAAAACCUUUCAUAAAAAUUUCUUGUUACUUUCUGUCAUUACCCUUUCUGCCUGGAUCCCCAAGAAUGACCAACUGAGACUAUCUUUUUAUCUUGUUUCAGUUAUUGUGGCCAUGCUGAGGCACCACCUUG